rnacentral:rRNA from 1 species
AUUGAACGCUGGCGGCAUGCUUUACACAUGCAAGUCGAACGGCAGCGCGGGCUUCGGCCUGGCGGCGAGUGGCGAACGGGUGAGUAAUUCAUCGGAACGUGCCCAGUAGUGGGGGCUAGCCCGGCGAAAGCCGGAUUAAUACCGCAUACGACCUGAGGGUGAAAGCGGGGGACCGAAAGGCCUCGCGCUAUUGGAGCGGCCGAUGUCGGAUUAGCUAGUUGGUGGGGUAAAGGCUUACCAAGGCGACGAUCCGUAGCUGGUCUGAGAGGACGACCAGCCACACUGGGACUGAGACACGGCCCAGACUCCUACGGGAGGCAGCAGUGGGGAAUUUUGGACAAAGGGGGCAACCCUGAUCCAGCCAUGCCGCGUGCGGGAAGAAGGCCUUCGGGUUGUAAACCGCUUUUGUUCGGGAAGAAAUCCUCUGGGCUAAUACCCCGGGGGGAUGACGGUACCGGAAGAAUAAGCACCGGCUAACUACGUG